ensembl:lncRNA
CCCAACUCAAAUGUCGCUUGAGCUGCAUGCCAGUGAUGUGAACUGAAGCAAGUACAAGAGCUGUGCCUUUCGACUUCAAAAGCUAAAGAUGGAGCAAUUGGACAAGACAACACAGUCGCUUCUGGAAGCUGCACAGGCCAUUGCCUUGUUGGAGGCGCUCCCAAAAAUGUUCCCUUACCCAACCGCCCCUCCAAGAAAAGUCGGCAAGUGAGGCACUGUACCAUGUUCUUGAGCCAUCUGAGGACGCCAAUGUCUUCUUGCGUAACUGAUGACCUUGCCAAGGGACAUGCUUCUGGAAUCCCUCAUGAUACUGAUGGGAUGCUACUAUGUGUUCCAGUUAACAUAUUCCAAGUGUAUUGCUAGGCUAUUGUCCAUAAUACAAACAGA